UGGACUCAGAGACAGUGAGAGCUAACAAGCAAGCGUCUCCAGAAUGAAGCACACGGUUAAAGCCCAUAAUGGUGGGCCAAAGGCACAGAGGCAGGAACAACUGAAGAGAGCCACUUCUUGAUCUAGGAAGGUCCUAUAAACCAUAAGAGCCUUCCUAGCAGUGUCCUUCGGACAGUGAAGAAGACUUCACUUCGUCUCUCUUGGAUAAACUAACAUUAGCAAAAGAUAACUUUCCUCAGUCAAGAUGCGUUAUUUGCUUUAAGGUUUCUGCAGAAACUUCCAUGGUGGAUGGUUAACUGCUCUGGUCUUUUACAAAUAGAAAUGAUCAAGUUUGCAAAUUGAAAAAAAAAAUCUACAGCAUGAAAUCAGCUAGCUCAACGAUAUUUCCUAGAUUUAUUCUGUAUUAGACUCCAACUGAACAAUUUCAAUCAAGGGAACUUGGAAGACCUAUCAGUGUCCCUUUCCUAGUAGAAAGAUAAUAUUCAAACACGAUAAUAUUAACGUGAGAGGGCUGAGAGAUAUUGCACAAUGUGUGCAAGCUAGGAAACUGUUUCCUUACUCUAAAUGGUCCAUGACUUUGGAAAAAUGAAUGUUCUAUUCCUCUAGUCAUUUGUCUGCAACUUCUAUUCUGGUUGGUAAAGUCUUAAACGUUAAAGCUCUGUAUGC
rnacentral:lncRNA from 14 species